rnacentral:lncRNA from 1 species
CUUGGCUCCUCCCUCCGUGUUUCCCCAUUGGGUUGUGUACCCUGGCCCCGCCUAUGCUCCUCCCCUUGGUUCUUUCUCCAUCGGGCCCUGGCCCUCUCUCCGCCCCUUGUCACCCUCAUACCCUGGCCCCUCCUGUAUUCUUGGCCCUUCACCCCGGAGCCCUUCACGCGUUCGGCAAUAAACUCCCGUGGAACUCUGUGCGAAGGACCCCUCCCGCCUCUUUAUUCCUGCUGGUUCUUACUGGAUGAGAACAGUUAAUAACAGCUCUGAAUUCGUCAGCUUGUGGGACUUUAUGGGUAAGUAUGAUACUACAUUUUUACCUCUUUUAAUUCAUUGCAGUCAAUCAGUCUUAAAGAGUUCAGCUAUAGUGUGAACAUAGGGCAAGUGUAAAUCCCCAGUGAAUAGUGGAGGAUUUAAAAUAUGGGUCCAAAAUUUUACAUAAAAUUAAUAUCAAUUUGUAGAUCUUUUCUAGCAGUGAUAUUUUGGCCAUAGCCAAAUGUAUAAGUGAAAAAUAAAGAUUUUAAGCAUCAUUCUGAUUUAUCAGAUUCUGAAAAUGUGAACCGAUCUAUGAAGAAGCAAAUGCCCACAUUACCUGCUAUUCUCUCCCACAACAAUAUUGAUCUGUCCAGGACAGAGACAUACAACCAGAAUCAUCUGAGAAUUCAGGUCAUAAGAUCAACACAGCACAGCACAUAGGCACUUCUGGUUUGGUAAAAUUAAUAAACCUCUGCAUGUAUAAGUUAAUAGAAAUCAAAUCAGGUGUUUGAAAACCUGUAAGAAAAAGGACUUGCUGAACAGCUGUACACAAAUCAUUCCUCCAAAUCUGCAGACAAUACACAAAAUUACUUUCAAAAUUCCUCUGACAUUUUAUGUGCAAUUUAUUUAAGCUAGUUCUGAUUAAUGAUAUGUCAGACAUACGUUUUCGUUCAGCAGGCAGUGGAGGCUGAUGCUCCUCUCAUCAGGAGUUUUACCAGUUUGGUUCCUGUAUUUCAUUUGGAUUUAUGUUUUGCCAUUUGUAAGUGUACAGAAGUUAAUAGCCCCCAAGUGCAUCUGCCGGCUGGCAUUUAGAAAGUUCAUCAGAAGCACUUAAACUUUUUUAUCUCAGAUGGGAUGGUACAACAUUCCCAAGGAUUUACAAGAGCCAUUUAUCAAAGACGGCACCUGCUGCAACACAAAUAUCAGCCAAGGUCAAUUUUUGAUCUAGUACAGGGCCACGUCCAUUGAUUUUCUAACUUCUACUACCUUUCCACAGAAUCCUCUGAAAACAGAUUUUUGAUUUUCCUUCAUAAUGUUCAUAACCAUAGCUAAUGCACUUUUCCAGGAGCAUAACAGCGAAGAGGAUCAUUCACUUUCCACCUUCUUUACGAAUGAGCAGGAAGUUCUCUCAUCAAUGCCUGGGGAAGACAAUACUUAAUAACUUCCAUUUGUAUUAAUAGAAGUUGCCGGCAUGGAUCCCUGUGCAUUUUAUUGAGAGCAGGCUUCAAAUUGGACUCUAAAUGUUUUCAUUUAUUUUUAAUUGUGUAAGUAAACCAAUCUAAAAAUCCAGUGGAAGAUUUACUUCCUUUCUAAACUGUUUCUGAAUGAAAUGUUAUCCCCUUUCUAAGGGAAUAAAAAUUGAGUCAAUAUUGCUGUUGAGAAGCCAGGUACUUUCCAGUAAUAAAAACUAUGAAAGCACGCUUCAAUAAAAAAAUGAAAAAGAAUAAAAAAGAAAGGGAAAAUGUUGUUAUGAGUAUAGCAGAUUUUUGCUUUUAAAUUAGGAGAUGAAUUAUUAAAUAAGAGGUCCAUCCUUAAUUUGCAUUGUUUCACACUUCAAGUAUAAUCUGACCAUACAGAUUAAAAUAAUCUGAUAUGUUUUUCUGGCAAAGAUAAAAGUUUCUUGUCAACAGACAUGUUGCUACGCUGAUGACUGAAGUGUAUCACCUCAGUUAGGCCCUUCAAACUGUAUCUUCUUGAUGUCAUUGUCACACUCCUCAAUUGUUUUGAUUCAUUCAGUGUCCCGUGUUGUACAUCAGAAGAGGGCUGUCAACACUGUGAAAUGGCUGGGGUGAUACUGACAGCUUGUCAGGGAUCCUCAUUCUGUAGACACAAGAAGCAAGGAAAUUCAUUGAGUGGUG